AUUGAACGCUGGCGGCAUGCUUUACACAUGCAAGUCGAACGGUAACGCGGGGGGUAACCCCUGGCGACGAGUGGCGAACGGGUGAGUAAUACAUCGGAACAUGUCCUGGAGUGGGGGAUAGCUCGGCGAAAGCCGGAUUAAUACCGCAUACGCCCUGAGGAGGAAAGCGGGGGACCUGGUAACGGGCCUCGCGCUGCAGGAGUGGCCGAUGUCGGAUUAGCUAGUUGGUGAGGUAAAGGCNCACCAAGGCGACGAUCCGUAGCUGGUCUGAGAGGAUGAUCAGCCACACUGGGACUGAGACACGGCCCAGACUCCUACGGGAGGCAGCAGUGGGGAAUUUUGGACAAUGGGGGAAACCCUGAUCCAGCGACGCCGCGUGGGUGAUGAAGGCCUCGGGUC
rnacentral:rRNA from 1 species